GACUUCGGUCCUGAGUAAAGUGGCGCACGGGUGAGUAACGCGUGGAUAAUCUACCCGAUGAUCUGGGAUAACAUUUCGAAAGGGGUGCUAAUACCGGAUAAGACCACGGGCUCUUCGGAGUCUGCGGUAAAAGGUGGGGACCUUCGGGCCUACCGUUAUCGGAUGAGUCCGCGUACCAUUAGCUAGUAGGUGGGGUAAGGGCCUACCAAGGCGACGAUGGUUAGCGGGUCUGAGAGGAUGAUCCGCCACACUGGAACUGGAACACGGUCCAGACUCCUACGGGAGGCAGCAGUGGGGAAUUUUGCGCAAUGGGGGAAACCCUGACGCAGCAACGCCGCGUGAGCGAUGAAGGCCUUCGGGUCGUAAAGCUCUGUCAGAGGGAAAGAAGUGCGAGAGGGUUAAUACCCCUUUUGCUUGACGGUACCCUUAAAGGAAGCACCGGCUAACUCCGUGCCAGCAGCCGCGGUAAUACGGAGGGUGCGAGCGUUGUUCGGAAUCAUUGGGCGUAAAGCGCGUGUAGGCGGACUUUUAAGUCUGAUGUGAAAGCCCCGGGCUCAACCUGGGAAGUGCAUUGGAAACUGGGAGACUUGAAUACGGGAGAGGGUAGUGGAAUUCCUAGUGUAGGAGUGAAAUCCGUAGAUAUUAGGAGGAACACCGGUGGCGAAGGCGGCUACCUGGACCGAUAUUGACGCUGAGACGCGAAAGCGUGGGGAGCAAACAGGAUUAGAUACCCUGGUAGUCCACGCCGUAAACGAUGAGUACUAGGUGUUGCGGGUAUUGACCCCUGCAGUGC
rnacentral:rRNA from 1 species